UGGGAGGCUUUGAAGUGUGGACGCCAGUCUGCAUGGAGCCGACCUUGAAAUACCACCCUUUAAUGUUUGAUGUUCUAACGUGGACCCGUGAUCCGGGUUGCGGACAGUGUCUGGUGGGUAGUUUGACUGGGGCGGUCUCCUCCUAAAGAGUAACGGAGGAGCACGAAGGUUGGCUAAUCCUGGUCGGACAUCAGGAGGUUAGUGCAAUGGCAUAAGCCAGCUUGACUGCGAGCGUGACGGCGCGAGCAGGUGCGAAAGCAGGUCAUAGUGAUCCGGUGGUUCUGAAUGGAAGGGCCAUCGCUCAACGGAUAAAAGGUACUCCGGGGAUAACAGGCUGAUACCGCCCAAGAGUUCAUAUCGACGGCGGUGUUUGGCACCUCGAUGUCGGCUCAUCACAUCCUGGGGCUGAAGUAGGUCCCAAGGGUAUGGCUGUUCGCCAUUUAAAGUGGUACGCGAGCUGGGUUUAGAACGUCGUGAGACAGUUCGGUCCCUAUCUGCCGUGGGCGCUGGAGAACUGAGGGGGGCUGCUCCUAGUACGAGAGGACCGGAGUGGACGCAUCACUGGUGUUCGGGUUGUCAUGCCAAUGGCACUGCCCGGUAGCUAAAUGCGGAAGAGAUAAGUGCUGAAAGCAUCUAAGCACGAAACUUGCCCCGAGAUGAGUUCUCCCUGACCCUUUAAGGGUCCUGAAGGAACGUUGAAGACGACGACGUUGAUAGGCCGGGUGUGUAAGCGCAGCGAUGCGUUGAGCUAACCGGUACUAAUGAACCGUGAGGCUUAACCUUACAACGCCGAAGGUGUUU
rnacentral:rRNA from 1 species